GUGAAUCAUCAAAUUUUUGAACGCAAAUUGCACUCUCUGGUAUUCCGGAGAGUAUGCCUAUUUGAGGGUCAGUUGAAAUAAUAUAAAGUGUAAGAUUUCUCUGUAUUUAUAAUGGGUCGUCCAUGUGUUGUGUUCGCUUAGGAUCCAAGACAAGCUCAUUUUCUUGGGUUGCGUGAAAGUAUUAGUUAGCUCUUGAGUUAA
rnacentral:misc_RNA from 1 species